rnacentral:rRNA from 1 species
UGCCAGUGAUAAACUGGAGGAAGGUGGGGAUGACGUCAAGUCAUCAUGGCCCUUACGAGUAGGGCUACACACGUGCUACAAUGGCGCAUACAAAGAGAAGCGACCUCGCGAGAGCAAGCGGACCUCAUAAAGUGCGUCGUAGUCCGGAUUGGAGUCUGCAACUCGACUCCAUGAAGUCGGAAUCGCUAGUAAUCGUAGAUCAGAAUGCUACGGUGAAUACGUUCCCGGGCCUUGUACACACCGCCCGUCACACCAUGGGAGUGGGUUGCAAAAGAAGUAGGUAGCUUAACCUUCGGGAGGGCGCUUACCACUUUGUGAUUCAUGACUGGGGUGAAGUCGUAACAAGGUAACCGUAGGGGAACCUGCG